AUUGAACGCUGGCGGCAGGCCUAACACAUGCAAGUCGAGCGGAUGAAGGGAGCUUGCUCCUGGAUUCAGCGGCGGACGGGUGAGUAAUGCCUAGGAAUCUGCCUGGUAGUGGGGGAUAACGUCCGGAAACGGGCGCUAAUACCGCAUACGUCCUGAGGGAGAAAGUGGGGGAUCUUCGGAUCUCACGCCAUCAGAUGAGCCUAGGUCGGAUUAGCUAGUUGGUGGGGUAAAGGCCUACCAAGGCGACGAUCCGUAACUGGUCUGAGAGGAUGAUCAGUCACACUGGAACUGAGACACGGUCCAGACUCCUACGGGAGGCAGCAGUGGGGAAUAUUGGACAAUGGGCGAAAGCCUGAUCCAGCCAUGCCGCGUGUGUGAAGAAGGUCUUCGGAUUGUAAAGCACUUUAAGUUGGGAGGAAGGGCAGUAAGUUAAUACCUUGCUGUUUUGACGUUACCAACAGAAUAAGCACCGGCUAACUUCGUG
rnacentral:rRNA from 1 species